AAAUGAAUAGACGGGCACCCGCACAAGCGGUGGAGCAUGCCGUUUAAUUCGAAAAUACGCGAAAAACCUUACCUAGACUUGACAUCCCUUGCAAAGCUAUAGAAAUAUAGUGGAGGUUACCAAGGUGACAGGUGGUGCAUGGUUGUCGUCAGCUCGUGUCGUGAGAUGUUCGGUUAAGUCCGCUAACGAGCGCAACCCUUGUCAUUAGUUACUAACAUUUAGUUGAGAACUCUAAUGAGACUGCCGAUAAUAAAUCGGAGGAAGGUGGGGAUGACGUCAAAUCAUCAUGCCCCUUACGUCUAGGGCAACAGGCGUGCUACAAUGGCUGGUACAAUGAGAUGCAAUCUCGCGAGAGGGAGCUAAUCUAAAAAGCCAGUCUCAGUUCGGAUUGAAGUCUGCAACUCGACUUCAUGAAGCUGAAAUCGCUAGUAAUCCCGGAUCAGAAUGCCGGGGUGAAUACGUUCUCGGGUGUUGUACACACCGCCCGU
rnacentral:rRNA from 1 species